rnacentral:rRNA from 1 species
CAGUAGCCGCGGGAAUACGGAGGGAGCUAGCGUCGUUCGGAAUUACUGGGCGUAAAGCGCGCGUAGGCGGUUACUCAAGUCAGAGGUGAAAGCCCGGGGCUCAACCCCGGAACUGCCUUUGAAACUAGGUGACUAGAAUCUUGGAGAGGUCAGUGGAAUUCCGAGUGUAGAGGUGAAAUUCGUAGGUAUUCGGAAGAACAUCAGUGGCGAAGGCGACUGACUGGACAAGUAUUGACGCUGAGGUGCGAAAGCGUGGGGAGCAAACAGGAUUAGAUACCCCAGUAGUCCCUGUCUCUUAUAC